CAAGUAAGUACUAGGAAGAAAAAAAACUCCACAACAAGCAAAGAGAUUAACAGAUUAAUCCUAUGGUUGAGGAGAGUAUUUUUUUUUUCCUUUCCUUUGUUAAGGUAAUAGGUGAGGUAUGUGCUAAGGGAUAUUAAGCACCUGAGAACAACAGUAGUGACUGUUCGGGAGUUCACAUAAGCCUCUGUAGGUUUCACAUUUCCCCAGGGAAUUAGCCAGGAGAUCCAGUUUAGAUGGAGGAGAAGGACCAUCGGGCUUUGCUUAACCAAGGAGAGGAGAAUGAACUGGAGGUGUUUGGUUACCAGACCCAGACUCUUCGCAGAGCCGUCUGCCUUGCAGCAUCGGUGCUGACGUGUGGGGUCCUUCUGCUGGUGUUCUACUGGAGGCCCCAGUGGAGAGUGUGGGCCACUUGCAUCCCGUGCCCCUUGCAAGAAGCAGAUACUGUUCUGCUAAGGACAACUGAUGAAUUUCAAAGAUAUAUCAGGAAGAAAGUGAUCUACCUCUACUUAUCCACACUGAAGUUUCCUAUAAGCAAGAACCCGGAAGAGCCCCUUGUAGCUGACCGCCACUCUGUCAUAAACCAUGCCAUAUUGAAACCAGAAUUAAAACUACGAUGUAUCCAAGUGCAGAAAAUUAGGUAUGUUUGGGACAACUUGGAGAAGAGAUUUCAGAAAGUGGGGUUGCUGGAAGACAGCCACUCCUGCUAUGACAUCCAUCAUAUGUUCGGCCUGGGUCUGACCCAUGAAGAGCGGGAGGUCAGGAGACUUGUGUGUGGGCCCAAUGCCAUUGAGGUGGAAAUUCAACCCAUAUGGAAGCUGCUUAUUAAACAGGUUUUAAAUCCAUUUUAUGUGUUCCAAGCCUUUACCUUGACUUUGUGGAUGUCUCAAGGUUACAUAGAAUACUCUGUCGCCAUCAUCAUCUUGUCUGUUAUCUCCAUUGUCUUAACUGUGUAUGAUUUGCGACAGCAAUCAGUUAAGCUGCACAACCUUGUGGAGGAUCACAACAAAGUCCAGGUUACAAUCACCGUAAAAGGCAAAGGUGAGCAGGAGCUGGAAUCCCGCCUCUUGGUUCCUGGAGAUGCCCUCAUUCUACCAGGAAAAUGCUCAUUGCCAUGUGAUGCUCUUCUGAUUGACGGGAGCUGUGUGGUGAACGAAGGCAUGCUCACAGGAGAAAGUAUACCCGUUACAAAGACGCCAUUGCCCCAUAUGGAGAAUACCAUGCCCUGGAAAUCCCACAGAUCAGAGGACUAUCGGAAACAUGUUCUUUUCUGUGGCACAGAAGUGAUCCAGGUCAAGCCCACUGGGCAGGGGCCAGUAAGAGCAGUUGUUUUGCGAACAGGUUACAAUACAGCCAAAGGGGACUUGGUGAGAUCCAUCCUUUACCCCCGGCCUCUGAACUUCAAACUCUACAGUGAUGCCUUCAAGUUCAUAGUGUUCCUGGCCUGUAUUGGACUUGUGGGUUUUUUCUAUGCCCUUGGUGUGUAUAUGUAUCACAGAGUCUCACCAAGACAUACCGUAGCCAUGGCCCUGCUCCUCUUCACCGGAACUGUCCCUCCAGUGCUGCCAGCUGCCCUGACCACAGGCAUCAUGUAUGCACAAAAGAGGCUGAAGAAAAAGAAAAUCUACUGUAUCUCCCCACAGAGAAUCAAUAUGUGCGGACAAAUAAACCUCGUGUGCUUUGACAAAACUGGCACUCUUACAGAGGAUGGGCUGGACCUCUGGGGAACUGUCCCCACUGCUGACAACUGUUUCCAGGAAGUCCACAGCUUUGCCUCAGGCAGGGCUCUGCCCUGGGGCCCACUGUGUGCCGCCAUGGCCAGCUGCCACUCUCUGAUCCUCCUGGAUGGGACCAUCCAGGGAGACCCUCUGGACCUCAAGAUGUUUGAGGGCACCAACUGGAUAAUGGAAGAUUGCAAUGUAGACGACUGCAAAUUUAGGACGUCAGACUCAAACAUAAUAAUAAAACCAGGACCGAAAGCCAGUCGGAGUCCUGUGGAAGCUAUCACCAUCUUGAGCCAGUUUCCAUUCUCGUCAAGCCUGCAGAGGAUGUCUGUGGUCGCUGGGCUAGCAGGCGAGGAUCACUUCCACGUCUACAUGAAGGGCGCCCCUGAGAUGUUGGCCAAGUUCUGCAGAUCUGAAACAGUGCCCAGGAACUUCCCACAGGAACUGAGGAAUUACACAAUGCAAGGCUUCCGUGUCAUUGCCCUUGCCCAUAAAACCUUGAGCCUGGGGAAGCUUUCAGAAGUGGACAGUUUAUCCAGAGAGAAGGUGGAGUCAGAGUUAACAUUUCUGGGACUUCUUAUAAUGGCGAAUCGCUUGAAAAAGGAAACCAAACCCGUCUUGAAGGAACUGAGAGAGGCCUGCAUCAGGACUGUGAUGAUUACCGGUGACAAUCUGCAAACAGCCAUUACUGUUGCAAAAAACUCCGAAAUGAUUCCUCAAGGGAACCAAGUGAUCCUCGUUGAGGCCAAUGAACCAGAAGAGUUUGUUCCUGCUUCUGUGACCUGGCAGCUGGUUGAAAACCAAGAGAAUGGACCUGGGAAGAAUGAAACCUACAUUAACAUUGGAAACAGUUCAGUGCUUCCUGAAGAACAAGGGAACUGUUAUCACUUUGCAAUGAGUGGGAAAUCAUACCAAGUGCUAUUUCAGCAUUUCAACAGCUUGCUUCCAAAAAUUCUGGUGAAUGGAACCAUUUUUGCAAGAAUGUCUCCUGGGCAAAAAUCAAGCCUUGUUGAAGAAUUUCAGAAAUUAAAUUAUUAUGUGGGCAUGUGUGGAGAUGGAGCCAAUGACUGUGGGGCUUUGAAAAUGGCUCAUGCGGGUAUUUCCUUGUCAGAGCAGGAGGCAUCUGUAGCCUCACCUUUCACCUCAAAAACAGCCAACAUCGAGUGUGUGCCUCAUCUCAUCAAAGAAGGCCGUGCUGCUCUGGUUUCAUCCUUUGGGGUAUUUAAAUACUUGACCAUGUACGGAAUAAUCCAGUUUAUUGGUACAUCACUGCUCUUUUGGCAACUGCAACUCUUUGGGAAUUACCAGUAUAUCGUGCAAGAUAUACCCAUUACCUUGAUGGUGUGUUUAACAAUGAGUUCAACUCAUGCCUACCCAAAGCUGGCUCCAUACCGACCAGCAGGACAGCUCCUCUCUCCCCCUUUGCUGCUCUCAGUCUUGUUGAAUACCUGUUUCACCUGCAUUGUGCAGAUCUGUGCAUUUCUCUUUGUGAAGCAGCAGCCCUGGUACUGUGAGGUCUACAGAUACAGAUGUAUUCUCAUUUCUGCUGAUAACUGCCUUGGGCCUCAUAGUUUUCAUCAUGUUUUCUGAUUUUCAAGCUAUAUACCGAAGAAUGGAGUUAAUCCCAACCACAACAUCAUGGAGGGUUUCAAUUUUGGUGGCAGCCCUCAUCCAGUUCUGCGUGGCCUUAUUUGUAGAGUUGUAAGAGAGAAACAAGAAUUGACAUUUACUUAGAAAAUUCAGCUCUAACCAUGGUGACCUGGAGCUGUGUGGCAGUGGAGAAUGAUGGAGGUGUCUGUUUAUCGCAUAUAAUCUUGGCUUGGGCACAGCUUUUAAGCAAACUCCACCAAAGACGGCAUUUCCCAAAACAUAUUGUUUUGGGGCCAAUGAGCUAUGUCCAGAGUCGAUCACAAAGGUAAUGAAAUAAACGGUUAAAAUGUACUUUUACAUUAAAGAAGCACUGCACCUCUAUUUACUCUUCAUUACUGACAGGUGAAAUCCUUACAUUUUUGUUGUUUUUUUAACUCUAAAAGUUGGCCCGAAGUCCGUAUUACUCAUUUUAAAACACAAUCCUAGGGGAGGGAUGGACCCAUAAUGUUUGUAUCUACACCAUGGCAAUUUUCAGGCUACUAAACAAUCUUACAUUUCAUUUCACUUUUCAUUAUCUAAAUCAAUGCACAUUAACAGCUACAAGAAGAGGUCCAUCCUUUACAAAUAUAUUGUGUACACUAUUCUCUUUAGUACAUAUCAACUCCACUGUGACCUGAGAGGACAUUUAUUUCUAGUGAACAUUGUGUAUUAUCUACUAGGCAUUAUUUGUAACAAUAAAUCGAAUUUUGCUAACUUAACAGAACUUCAACAGUUCAUAGGCAAUUAGGUAACCAUCCCAUUCCAUGAGUGCCAAUUAUGUGUCAAACACUGAUGUAUGCUUUCAAUAAUAUAUUUACAAUUCUGAAACCUUUAGAAGUGAAAAACAAUUUUUACAUUUCAUCAAUUUGUUUCUGUAAAUAGGACUAAAGGCUUUGUUACACAAACCAACAGCAUUAAUGCAAAUUUUUAUAAAAACAACCCUUUAUAUUUACAUUUUAUUUGCAAAACCUUGUUUUUACUUUGGUGCACAGCUCUUGGAAAAUGAUAAUUUUCAAAAUGUGUCUUAUUUAGUGUCUACUAAUAAGUGAUAAGAAGAUAAAAUAUAUUUAUCUUAUGGUUAAAAUUGUAUGUCAACAUAAAAAAUAUGUAACUCGGGCAUUUAAUAAUUUGACCAUUAGCACAGGAGGAUUCAACUUAUACCCUAUGACAGCGUAAACAGGUUUCUUAAAAUCUUGAUUUAAUAAAUGUACACCUCUUUUUUUUGCCCCAGUUUUUCCAACAACCUUUUUGGUAUCUGAUAGGUGAUCAUUUUAUUUCACAGAUUUCUUUGGAAGUGGAAUAUGUUAAAGUUGAAGUCUAUACUUAACUUUGCUAAAUAUAUGCUCAGAGAAAGGUUUAAUAGUCUUGGGGAAAAGCUUUGAAAAAAGCACGAGCAUGGCCAUAUAUCAAAUGAUCACCUAUUGCAGCGAUUUUCAACCUUUUUCAUCUCGUGGCACACAUAAACUGAUUGCUAAAAUUCUGUGGCAACCAAAAAAUAUAUGUUUUC